UACGGAGGGGGCUAGCGUUGUUCGGAAUUACUGGGCGUAAGGCGCACGUAGGCGGCUUUGCAAGUUAGAGGUGAAAGCCCGGGGCUCAACUCCGGAAUUGCCUUUAAAACUGCAUCGCUAGAAUUGUGGAGAGGUAAGUGGAAUUCCGAGUGUAGAGGUGAAAUUCGUAGAUAUUCGGAAGAACACCAGUGGCGAAGGCGACUUACUGGACACAUAUUGACGCUGAGGUGCGAAAGCGUGGGGAGCAAACAGG
rnacentral:rRNA from 1 species